AGUGAACGCUGGCGGUAGGCCUAACACAUGCAAGUCGAACGACAGCACAGUAAGAGCUUGCUCUUACGGGUGGCGAGUGGCGGACGGGUGAGGAAUACACCGGAAUCUACUUUUUCGUGGGGGAUAACGUAGGGAAACUUACGCUAAUACCGCAUACGACCUACGGGUGAAAGCAGGGGAUCUUCGGACCUUGCGCGAUUGAAUGAGCCGAUGUCGGAUUAGCUAGUUGGCGGGGUAAAGGCCCACCAAGGCGACGAUCCGUAGCUGGUCUGAGAGGAUGAUCAGCCACACUGGAACUGAGACACGGUCCAGACUCCUACGGGAGGCAGCAGUGGGGAAUAUUGGACAAUGGGCGCAAGCCUGAUCCAGACAUACCGCGUGGGUGAAGAAGGCCUUCGGGCUGUAAAGCCCUUUUGUUGGGAAAGAAAAGCAGCAGGUUAAUACCCCGCUGUUCUGACGGUACCCAAAGAAUAAGCACCGGCUAACUUCGUG
rnacentral:rRNA from 1 species